rnacentral:tRNA from 1 species
GCUAAUAUAGCGUAGCGGUAACGUGUUGGGCUACAAGCUGGAAUGAUUUUAGCGUCGUGAGUACGAAUCCCACUGUCGGCG